rnacentral:rRNA from 1 species
GACGUAGGGCGCGAGCGUUGUCCGGAUUUAUUGGGCGUAAAGAGCUCGUAGGCGGCUUGUCGCGUCGACUGUGAAAACCCGCGGCUCAACUGUGGGCUUGCAGUCGAUACGGGCAGGCUGGAGUUCGGUAGGGGAGACUGGAAUUCCAGGUGUAGCGGUGAAAUGCGUAGAUAUCUGGAGGAACACCGGUGGCGAAGGCGGCAUCCUGGACCGACACUGACGCUGAGGAGCGAAAGCCAGGGGAGCAAACGGG